UACGUAGGGGGCAAGCGUUGUCCGGAAUCACUGGGCGUAAAGCGCGCGCAGGCGGCGAUCUACGUCCGGGGUGAAAGUCCAGAGCUCAACUCUGGGACUGCCUUGGAUACGGGAUCGCUUGAGGAUCGGAGAGGCAAGGGGAAUUCCACGUGUAGCGGUGAAAUGCGUAGAGAUGUGGAGGAACACCUGUGGCGAAGGCGCCUUGCUGGCCGAUUUCUGACGCUGAGGCGCGAAAGCGUGGGGAGCAAACAGG
rnacentral:rRNA from 1 species